UACGAAGGGGGCUAGCGUUGCUCGGAAUUACUGGGCGUAAAGGGCGCGUAGGCGGAUAGUUUAGUCAGAGGUGAAAGCCCAGGGCUCAACCCUGGAAUUGCCUUUGAUACUGGCUAUCUUGAGUUCGGGAGAGGUGAGUGGAACUCCGAGUGUAGAGGUGAAAUUCGUAGAUAUUCGGAAGAACACCAGUGGCGAAGGCGAUGUUCUGGCUCGUUUCUGACGCUCAGGUGCGAAAGCCAGGGGAGCGAACGGG
rnacentral:rRNA from 1 species